UACGUAGGGUGCAAGCGUUAAUCGGAAUUACUGGGCGUAAAGCGUGCGCAGGCGGUUUUGUAAGCCAGAUGUGAAAGCCCCGGGCUUAACCUGGGAAUGGCAUUUGGGACUGCAAGGCUUGAGUGCGGCAGAGGAGACUGGAAUUCCUGGUGUAGCAGUGAAAUGCGUAGAUAUCGUAAGGAAGACCAGUGGCGAAGGCGGGUCUCUGGACAGUUCCUGACGCUGAGGCACGAAGGUCAGGGGAGCAAACGGG
rnacentral:rRNA from 1 species